rnacentral:lncRNA from 1 species
UUUGUGUACAGGAAGUAGCCAGCGGCCGCCAUUGUGCAUGAAUAGUCGUGGGCGUUUCGCCCGUUUGGUACGCGCGUGAUACCGGCUUGGCGUACUGAAUCGACGUUUGUGGCGAACUCAUCCUUUUUCGUGCUGUUGUGGGGCGACUGUGAACUGGUGCCAUGCCAGUUAACUGCUGUGUGCCACUGUGCACGCAAUUUGGUGGCUUUGACAAGUCUGGACAAAAAGUGUCAUACCACAGAUUCCCAAGAGACCAGGACAUAUACAAAAAGUGGAUUGCAGCCAUCAGGCGAGACGAAGGCCCACUCUUCACAGUUUCGAAGGCCACCAGGGUCUGCUCUCUCCACUUUCUUGAGAGUGACUUUGUUGCUAACGUUGCUAAUGGUUACCGACACUUACACCAGUCUGCUGUGCCAUCCACAUUUUUAUUCAAGCAGCCAAAGCCGCCGAGGAAACCACCCGCUCAACGGGCACCACUUCAGAAAGUUGCAUCAUCUAAAAGGAAGUGUAAUGGUAAGGCUCAAGGGCUUCCUACUACAGGACAAAAGGUAGACACCCGUAACGAUAACCGAGCAGAUGACAAGGAAAACUCAGCAGAUAGAUGCAACAAAAAUAGUGAAGGCACUGAUGUCAAUGUUGAAGAUACGGGCUCCACUUUGCUUCCUGACAAACAGCAACAGUCACCAGAAGAACCAGCCUCUGGAAGUAUUUGUGCAUGCAGAGAAAAUAUUUCUGCCCUAGAGCAGGAGCUGGCUGCAAGCAAAGCAAGCGAAGCAGAUACACAGGCUGAAAAUAAACACCUGAAGCUGCAAGUAAG